UACGUAGGGAGCAAGCGUUGUCCGGAAUCAUUGGGCGUAAAGCGCGCGUAGGUGGCUCCAUAAGUCCGUUGUGAAAGUCAAAGGCUCAACCUUUGAAAGCCGAUGGAUACUGUGGAGCUAGAGUACGGAAGAGGCGAGUGGAAUUCCUGGUGUAGCGGUGGAAUGCGCAGAUAUCAGGAGGAACACCAAUAGCGAAGGCAGCUCGCUGGGACGUUACUGACGCUGAGGUGCGAAAGCGUGGGGAGCAAACAGG
rnacentral:rRNA from 1 species